rnacentral:RNase_P_RNA from 1 species
AGACGGUUGGACAGCCGCGGAUUUUGCCGCAAGGCAAAAGAUGAGGAAAGUCCGAGCACCGCAGAGCAAGGAUGCCAGCUAACGGCUGGUGGAGGCGACUCCAAGGCAAGUGCAACAGAAAGAAACCGCCAAGCAAUUGGUAAGGGUGGAAAGGUGCGGUAAGAGCGCACCGGCGGUCUGGCAACUCGUCCGUCAUGUAAACCCCAUCCGGUGCAAGAGAGGAAGCAUCAGGGCUGCUCGUCCGCUUCCGUAGCUUCGCUUGAGCGUACUGGCGACUGUACGCGUAGAUAGAUGGCUGUCAAAACAGAACUCGGCUUAUAGACCGUAC